UACGGGGGGGGCAAGCGUUGUUCGGAAUUACUGGGCGUAAAGGGCUCGUAGGCGGCCAACUAAGUCAGACGUGAAAUCCCUCGGCUUAACCGGGGAACUGCGUCUGAUACUGGAUGGCUUGAGUGUGGGAGAGGGAUGCGGAAUUCCAGGUGUAGCGGUGAAAUGCGUAGAUAUCUGGAGGAACACCGGUGGCGAAGGCGGCAUCCUGGACCGGCAUUGACGCUAAAGCGCGAAAGCCAGGGGAGCAAACGGG
rnacentral:rRNA from 1 species